GGAGUUAGCCGGUGCUUCUUCUGUGAGUGAUGUCCUUCCUGCCGGCUAUUAACCCGCAGGCCUUCUUCCUCACUGAAAGUGCUUACAACCCGAAGGCCUUCUUCACACACGCGGCAUGGCUGGAUCAGGGUUCGCCCCCAUUGUCCAAUAUUCCCCACUGCUGCCUCCCGUAGGAGUCUGGGCCGUGUCUCAGUCCCAGUGUGGCUGAUCAUCCUCUCAGACCAGCUACGGAUCGUCGCCUUGGUGAGCCGUUACCUCACCAACCAGCUAAUCCGACAUAGGCUCAUCCGAUAGCGCGAGGCCCGAAGGUCCCCCGCUUUCCCCCGUAGGGCGUAUGCGGUAUUAGCCUGGGUUUCCCCAGGUUAUCCCCCACUACCGGGCAGAUUCCUAUGCAUUACUCACCCGUCCGCCGCUCGCCACCAGGGAGCAAGCUCCCCGUGCUGCCGCUCGACUUGCAUGUGUUAGGCCUGCCGCCAGCGUUCAAUCUGAGCCAGGAUCAAACUCUGA
rnacentral:rRNA from 1 species